CUGCUGCAGUCGUAGCUGAGGAUGGCUCAGAUCUGGCCACCAAGGGCACUGUCCUGGGGAGAGACGAGUUCUCGCUUAAAGACAUUGUUCAUAAAAAGUCAACCUACGGAGACAGGAGAGGUGUCGUCUGUGCCCUGGAUCCUCAGUCUCUGUGAUGCAGGAUCAUAUAACUUUUUCCCCUGAAGUCUUGAGCAUCCUGGGUAGGAGGGGGAGGACAAGGAGAUGCUGGCAGGAAGUCCUUUUCUGGAUCAGGUUGUAGCCCCAAGACAGAGCAUGUGGGUUUCCCCACCGAGCCAGGCAGAAGGGCCACCAUGUGACUGUGACAGCCAACCUCCAGGGGUCUCUGGGAGCCCUUUGGGCUUCUCUGAAGAUAUUUUUCCUGUCCUCCUACCAAACCUGACCCGGGGAUUAGUAGGAUGCUUAUUGUAAAGAUCUCUUUCUUCUUUUGAAUAUGUACCCAUCUAAUAUAGCUUUCACUGAAAAUUUAUGUCCAAAUGGCUAAAGUUUCUAAGAACCUAGUGAAUAUGGCAAAUCCCUCUUCACAAUCAACAGUUUCAGCAAUGGAGUUAUUUAACGUGGCUCAGAGAAGUGGUGAAGAGUUUCUGAGGUUAGCUUUGCCUCCUGCCCCCAACAGAGCAGUUGGCACCAUCGUGAAUUAAGUUUUUCUCCCACAGCAUCACUGUAUCUCAUAGCAUAAGUUGGAAAUGAUGGGGGAACCCCAAUUUUCUCUUAAAUGAAAAAGACUUGCCCAUUCCUGGCUCGUCUAAAUGUACAGUAUGUAUGAUUCUCGUUUUUUGUUUUGAUUCAGGAAGAUUUGCCCUGAGCUAACAUCUGUUGCCAAUCUUCUUUAUUUUUUAUGUGAGCCGCCACCGCAGCAUGGCCGCUGACAGACGAGUGGUGCGGUUCUGUGCCUGGGGACUGAACCCAAGCUGCCAAUGUGGAGCCCACAGAACUUCACCCAGUAGGCCCUUGGGGCUGGUGCCGUAUGAUUCUUUAUUCACCACCAGCAGCAUGGUCUCUUCCCUUUGCCCAUAUCAACUGUCAACUGUGUUCUGCGGGCAUCUCUCCAUCCCCUCAGCCUCCCCUCAGCCUCCUUCCAGCCCCCACAGCGCCCUGUGUUGGAUGUCUACUUGCACAUGCCUCCCCAGAGGGCCAGCCAUCCUGAGAGAGAGGGUAAUGUAAAGGGCUGGGAUGUGGAAGGAAGGAAGACGUAGGGGCUGGUUACCCACCAUCUUGGACUAGUUUCAUUAUUUCUCCUUCCUCCUUGUGGAUAAUUGAAGUGUGAACACAUGUUCUCAACAUGUUACCUCCAAUCUUGCUGAAACGCCCUGGACUACAUAUUAUGUCCAGAUUAAUUUCUUCCCCCAGCCUGAUGUAGAACCAUGAACCGAGAGGUACAUAAUAUGUGAUAUAUUUUACAGUAACAUUCAGCAAACUUGUCUACCAUUGAAAGGUUCAUUUCGAGUUGUGUUAAUCGAAGGCAAGUUGACUCAUUUGUCCACGACAAUGCCCUCAUUUCCCUUUGAGCAAUUAUCAAGUGUGCUUGACGCAGAGCAGCUGACCUUCGAAUACAAGGCUGGGCUGGGGGUGGGGUGGGCCUGGACUGUCAGUGUGGAUUUGGCAGCAUGAGUUGCUCCAAAGAAUCCUGAUUUCUUAUGCGUGAACUCCUGACCCCGGCGCUGGAGCCUGGCGAGCGGGCGGGAAGGAAGGUGAACUCCCGCUGAUUCAGGGUCCCUCCCAGGCGGCCUUUUCCACGGUGUCAGCAGUGUUCACCUCACUUUCCUCUCCUCCCUCUUCCGCCCCCCUAUAAGUCCUGUCCCUGGAAGCACUUCUGAGUUGCCAGGAAUCAUGAACAUUGGGAAACAAUCCAAAAAGCUGGGUGGCUACUUUAUUUUCCGUAGCCCACACGGUCACACGUGGCCCCGGUCUCAGCAUCUGGUCAUAGGUGUGGACACAGCAUGGCCUAAAGGAAGGAACAUGGGACCACAAAGAGGGGCCUUCAGUGACUCAGGUACCAAGCAAGCAUGUGGCUUGGAGGCCAGCCUUUCUUAAGGGCCUGUCUGGGUGAAGACCGAGAAAUGUUCUAUGGUGGUUUCAGAAUUUUCUCCCCUAGCUUCAUUACUUGGAGCGGUGCUUCUCGAUGUUGAAGCUGGAGGUCUGAGGACCACACUUUCAGUAGGAAGAUGACCAGGCCCCACGGCCACGUCGUUUCCAGGAGAUGGUAACAAAACGAGGAGGAAAGGCCCAGAUGUCAACAUGCCUGCCAUUGAGGAUCACAGGAAGUGCCCUUAAAACAAAUAUCAGGUUCUGACCUGGAGAAACAGCUCCUUUCUUUGAUUUCAAAACAUGGCUAAUGUUCCACUGUGCAAGAAUAUUUCGAACAUCCCAAUUGGAAAAAAAAAGGUUCCAAAGGCGAAGUCUAAGCAGCCGCACGAGGACCUGCUGUUACGCUUCCUUAGCUCUCUGGUGCAGGUGGAGCUCAGCUGUCUAUCAAACGAUGAGGAACUCAGUUGUGUGAGCAAACAGCCCUCAUUCACAUUUGACAAAAUCUGCCUAAAGUAAUAAGGUGAUGAAAACUUCCGAACUUCUCUCGAGCUGGACAUCUUCUCCCGAAUGCCUCUGAACCUCUCCUGCGAAUGCAGUUCCGUGGAUGCAGAAGCUGUUUGCAGAUUCCCUCUGCUAGUGUCCUUGGUCAGUCAAAGGCACCCCCAUAGAAGUCCCGUGCGAGUGCGUGCAGCCGUCACUGGUAAAGCCAGCAGCUGGGUAGCACUUCUUUUCACACUUCACAUCCUUGAGCUUAUCCUUGGAUUUGCGUGGGUGGCACCUGUUUGCACAGCCUACCCUCAUCUGAGAUUCUGCCUCCUCUACUGGGCAGGUUGAAGCCUUUUCUUGCCCCCUAUAAAGCAACAGCUCAUUCCUGAGUUGUGUGUGUCAAGCUGGUAUGUCUACUCUUCUCAUUAAAAGGUUCACUGGA
rnacentral:lncRNA from 1 species